AUUGAACGCUGGCGGCAUGCCUUACACAUGCAAGUCGAACGGCAGCACGGACUUCGGUCUGGUGGCGAGUGGCGAACGGGUGAGUAAUGGAUCGGAACGUACCUUUCAGUGGGGGAUAACGUAGCGCAAGUUAUUCUAAUACCGCAUAUUCUGUGAGCAGGAAUGCCGGGGAGCGCAAGACCUGGCGGUGAUUGAGCGGCCGAUAUCAGAUUAGAUGGUUGGCGAGGUAAAGGCUCACCAAGGCGACGAGCUGUAGCGGGUCUGAGAGGAUGAGGCGCCACACUGGAACGGAGACACGGUCCAGACUCCUACGGGAGGCAGCAGUGGGGAAUUUUGGACAAUGGGGGCAACCCUGAUCCAGCCAUGCCGCGUGAGUGAAGAAGGCCUUCGGGUUGUAAAGCUCUUACGGCCGGGAAGAAAUCGCAUAGGUUAAUACCCUGUGUGGAUGACGGUACCGGAAUAAGAAGCACCGGCUAACUACGUGCCAGCCGCCGCAGUAACAC
rnacentral:rRNA from 1 species